GUGUGUGUACAGGUCUUAUGUGUGUAAAUAUAUACACUGUGCUUAUGUGCUAUAUAUGUGUGUGUGUGCAUGUGUGUAUACACACUGCCAGAGGUUUGUAAAGGUUAAUAUUUUAUCAAUAAGAAAAAAAGAUCAAUUUCUAAAGGUCAUUUAGAUUAUUUCCAUGAGAGAAUUUUUAAUGUUCUUCACCUGUUAAAAUUUUUAUUGGUGAUCCUUUUGAGAUUAUGAACAAACAGUCUGUCCUCAAGUAUUUAGGCAUGCUAAUAUUUACUUUGUAAAAUGUGCUUCUUACAGGAAUAUAAAUAGUUGCUGGAAAGGACACAGACAACUUCAAAGCAAAAUGAAAUUCUUUCUGGAGGUACACAGAAUGUAGAGAAUGAUAAUAGUUAUUUCUUUAUAUUCUUUGGCAAUGAAAAGAGUUAAUAUUUAUCAAGAAAUGUCAGUCAGAUAGUAAAUGUUGUGUUAGUGUGAGCUGUUCCUAUGAUUAUCAUUGAUGUACAAGACUAAAAAUUAGGUAACUAUUCUCACAGGACAACAGGUAACCUUGACAUCAUGUUUCUUUCAAUAUUGUAGUGCAUACUUCAUCAAAAAAUAAAGAAUAAAAGAAUAUUACCUGUUGAGAUAAUAAGAAUAAGAAAACCAUUGUGAGCAUUUCAUUUCACAAAUAGGACUGGGCGUGGUGGUUCCUGCUUUCAGUCUCAGCACUUGGGGAAGCUGUGGCAGGAGGAUUGCUUAAGGCCAGAAAAAAAAAAAGGGAAAAAAACAAGACCAAAACUAAUAAUAAAUAGUAUAUACUAUUACGGUACUGGUUAAAAUACUUUAAAGUCCUUAUGAAAAUUCAUAUUUUUCCUAAAUUUCUACUAGGUAAUUGAUCUGGGUGGUGAGCCAAUUACAAGCAGUCAGUACUUUGGAAAUGGCCGGGCGACAGAAUUCAAGUAUGGUGCAAAACUCGGCACAGUUAUUCGCAAGUGGGAUGGAGAGAAGAUGUGUUACUUAAAGAACUGGGGAGAAGGUUGGGGUUUCAUGCCUUCUGACAGAGCACUUGUCUUUGUGGAUAACCAUGACAAUCAACGAGGACAUGGGGCCGGAGGAGCUUCUAUUCUUACCUUCUGGGACGCUAGGCUGUAUAAAAUGGCAGUUGGAUUUAUGCUGGCUCAUCCUUAUGGAUUUACACGAGUGAUGUCAAGCUACCAUUGGGCAAGACAUUCUGAAAAUGGAAAAAUAAGUUUUGGAGUUAUUCAAAAUAUCAUGUUUUCAAGAAAAAGGAGGAUAUUCUGUCCUAAGUUAAUAUGA
rnacentral:lncRNA from 1 species